rnacentral:misc_RNA from 1 species
GACAUAACAACUGAAGAAUGCUCAGUUAGUGUUUGUACGCACUGCAAAGUUUCAAGAUUCCAGACCCUCACAGAAUGGUCCAUAGAACCAGAAUAGAGUCUAUCAGCUCCAACAACUAGUGAAACAACUGCAACGGUGUGACCUGUAAGUGAUGCAGCUGGUUCAAAGUUAAAGGUAACUGCAUUAAAUUUCCAUGCUAAUAUCGCCCCGUCCUGCGUACCAGCAAAGAGGAAGUCAUUACCAACAACCAGGGCAUAAACUUGUCCAACAGGUCCAGUAAGACUUAGAUCAGUGUUAGUUUGCGUAUUCCAUGCCUUAACAACAUUUGGUAC